rnacentral:rRNA from 1 species
UACGUAGGGUGCGAGCGUUGUCCGGAAUCACUGGGCGUAAAGGGCGCGUAGGUGGCGCGACAAGUCAGUGGUGAAAGCUCGACGCUCAACGUCGAGUCGGCCACUGAUACUGUUGGGCUUGAGCACUGUAGAGGCUAAUGGAAUUCCGGGUGUAGCGGUGGAAUGCGUAGAUAUCGGGAGGAACACCUGUGGCGAAAGCGGCUCACUGGACCACAACUGACGCUGAGGCGCGAAAGCUAGGGGAGCAAACAGG